rnacentral:lncRNA from 1 species
GACUGGUCCCUGGAGGUGGAGCAGUGUAAGGAGGACAGUGGGUGUUCUGGCAGCAAUUCACUCUGCCUGUGGUGCCAGAUCUCAUUUCCUAAGGAGCCUUUCGAGCAGAAGUUCCCAGCACUUGCACUAGGUCCAGUGUAAAUUAAGGCUCCACUGGGAAGUACAGGAACCAGCCUGGAUCCGUUUAAGAAGUAAUAACGCUUGUUAGCUCCUGGGAAAGAAUAGAUUCAGGUUGGAUCUACUGGGGUCUCUGAACAAGGACAUCUCCCUGGAGCAGCUGCAGGCUCGCAAGUGACAGUAUGUUAACUGAUACUUUUCACCACCCAGUAAGGCACUUAGCUGAAGAAGCCUGUCCAGGGGGUUGUACCUGGUAACCUACUUGAUAGCAAGGACAGAAAGAGGAGACUUUCUUAAUCUGAAAGAAAGGCAUGAAAAAAUAAGCAAAUAAAACAAAGUGGCCUCCAUAUUGUUUGAGUUGUACAGGGGAUGACUGCUUAUUUCCGGGGGACACACAGCCUUCAGAGUUGAAAGCAUAAAGCAUUGACCUGUCAUACCUGUAAAUUUUAUUUUUGUGUUUUGCCAGCAGUGGAACCCAGGCCUUCACCCAUGCAAGGCAGAUACGCCACCCCUGAGCUACACCCCAGCCCUCUCCUACCUUUUUAAAAAAUAUUUAUUUUAUAAUGUUGCUGUUUGUGACACAGCUUUUCCCCCUCCCAAGUUGCUGAAGUGGUUGAUGCUUUGGGAGGGUAUGCUGUGACUUCAAAGCUCCUGCCACAGAGACCUGGGAAGCAGGACCAGAGGUGUUGGAAAGGCUGGGUUGGAGAGCAGAUGUGUGUGGGAGGGGUUGGAUAGAUCUGGGCUUGAGUUCACUUGGCCUUUCCCUUUCCCAGCAGUCUUCUGCCUGGCUGUUACUGGCCUCAUCCUGUCAGUGACCUAGCCCUCCCAUCCUGUUCCUACUGGCUCUCUCAUCCCUUGCACCUCUCGGCCUCCCUGCCACUAUCUAGGGUUUUGUAUCCAGUGUUGCUGCUGGCUCUUCCCCUACAGUCCACUCUUGCCUGCAGACUACCAGUGCCCUCCUCCCCUCCCCACAGGUCUGGUCCUACUAUGGUAACUCACACCCCACCCCAACCCCGUGUGCCCCCUGCCCAGCUGCUACCCCAUCUUUUGCCUUGGGGCUUUACCCAUGAUGCAUCCUGGGCCAUGAUCCAGCCACUGGUCCCAUGCCUGGGGUAAGCAUUCCAUGCCCUCAGUCAUUGUACCAUCUAGCUAAGAGUCUUCACACCAUCUUCCCCCCCUGUGUGGGGGGGAUUAGGUACUCCUUACUGGGAGAAUGUAGAGCUCUGGGAUAUUCAUAACCAUGGUGUUUACCAAGAUCUACUGUAAUCUGGUGGCUUCCAUAUUUCCUACUAGAUCUUUCUUGUAAACAGUCAUGUAUAUUACUGAUUAUUGGUCUCCCCAGCAUAAAGCAUUGGUAACUGGUCUAAAUAAUGAGUGGAAAUCCACAUGGGCAAAAAUAGGUUGGGAAUUUUUCACAGUGAAAUGUGAAAGAUAAUGCGGAUGACCCAAGGCAAGUGGAAAGAAAAAAGUAAGUUUUGUGAGUAGAAGGGAACAAACCUGUUUACCUUACUUCAUAACUGAUGGUCAACUCUCCUAGCUUAGUAGGAUGCCAAAAAAAAUAAAAACAAACUCAACAGCCAUUGAAGUAGCAUUUGUAGUUUGUUUGGUUUCUAUUUUAAUAAAAAAAAGUAUAAUUUACUCUAGGCCACUGUUUCCAUGGAAACCUGCCAAAUGGAGGGAAGAGUUAAGUGCAGUUCAUCAUGGAAAGCUCCCCUUCUGUGGACCAAUCUCUGCUCUGCUCUCCCUGGUCCUGUCCUCAGGAAGUUUGUGGCUUCCCUUGACUGAAGGAGCUGGAGACAGUAGUCCAG